AACAACACAACGCGUUUAUUUUCUUACCAUUUCCUUUUAAUUUGGGCAUCUAAUAAAGUCCCCAUAAACAAACAAACAAAAUAAAAAAAAAACAAUCGUAACAUACUGCAGAGAAAUGUACAGGGGAUUAUAUUAAACAAUAAUAAAAGGUGAUAUUUAAAAAAUAAAUAAAUCUUUAAAUAUAAUUAAAGGGAUCGUGGUAUCGACCGCAGUAAGAACUAGUACGGAUUCGGUCCAUGUUCGCUCACAAAUAUAAUUAACUUACUAUAAUAAUAUAAACGAAAUAUUUCUGUUAUAACAAUGAGUAA